AGAGGAUGUAGGUGUUGUUCGCCACUGUGUGUGAUCGAACUUCAAUCUUUGUGGGCAAUGCAAGGCUUGCGAGCCCCAUGUGGCUCUCGGCCUUGGUGGGCAUACAUUUGGGUGCACAUUUUGCUUCACUGUCGAUGUGCCAUAAGUAGGUACCUGUGCUUCCGGUUGCCCACCUCUCCAUACUCUCUUCCUGGACUCAGCCGCAAUGCUGCGCAGGAGUUUGAGCCAAAAGCAUUGAAAGAUCUGGUCGAGCCAUGUCAGGGCUUCAGAGACAAAGUUGAGUGAAUUCCCCUGGAUGGAACUCGCAGUGUGUAAGUCCAAAUGGAGGGCAUCUGCCAUUUUGAGAUCCCGGAGGGCUGGUCACUGCAACAUUCUCGUUUUGGUGAGUAUUGGUAGGUGUGCUUAAUCAGCUCUGAGGGGACCGGGAUAUCCCCCAGUGGUCAAAAGAGGGGUUAGGAGUGCUGUCGAACCCAGUCGAGAACCAGAGCGCAGGAAGAUCGGCUGCUUCUCCCCUGCUCCCAGCAGGCCACAACAGGACUCCCAGGUAUGUAGCAGGACAAGUCCUCGUUUGAAGUAACAGAUAGCUUGCCCGGAAGUCCCCUGCUUUCAGGAACACUUAGAGUGGGUCGCGGUAGCCAGUAAAUCAGGUGUAAUACCCUUUUAUCGAUUAGUAGUGCAGGAGCUGCAGCGUUUCACGUCUGGCUUGCUUGAAGGUCCAGCCCCCCAAUAUUUAUUACUAUUACAACUAUUACAUAAUUGUUUCUUUUACAUUACUUUUUGUAGAGCACUUUCCAUUUCUUAAAAUUUACAUCCUCCUUUACACCAGAAAUGUUUCCUAUCUAUCCUGGCUUUCUCUUAUAUCACUUUUAUCUUGCCAUGGAAAGACAUAUAG